AUAGAGAGCCAUACCCCCAACCCUAAAUGUGCCCAAUUUCAUCUGAUCUAGGAAGCUAAGCCCAACUAGGGUUGGGCCUAGUUAGUAUUUAGAUGGGAGAAAACCAGGCCCCUGUAAGCC
rfam:Gorilla gorilla gorilla genomic chromosome, chr7, whole genome shotgun sequence